rnacentral:lncRNA from 1 species
AUGUCAGUUUUCAUUCCAAUCCCAAAGAAAGGCAAUGCCAAAGAAUGCUCAAACUACCACACAAUUGCACUCAUCUCACAUGCUAGUAAAGUAAUGCUCAAAAUUCUCCAAGCCAGGCUUCAGCAAUAUGUAAACCGUGAACUUCCUGAUGUUCAAGCUGGUUUUAGAAAAGGCACAGGAACCAGAGAUCAAAUUGCCAACAUCUGCUGGAUAAUGGAAAAAGCAAGAGAGUUCCAGAAAAACAUCUCUUUCUGCUUUAUUGACUAUGCCAAAGCCUUUGACUGUGUGGAUCACAAUAAACUGUGGAAAAUUCUGAAAGAGAUGGGAAUCCCAGACCACCUGACCUGCCUCUUGAGAAACCUAUAUGCAGGUCAGGAAGCAACAGUUAGAACUGGACAUGGAACAACAGACUGGUUCCAAAUAGGAAAAGGGGUACGUCAAGGCUGUAUAUUGUCACCCUGCUUAUUUAACUUCUAUGCAGAGUACAUCAUGAGAAACGCUGGGCUGGAAGAAACACAAGCUGGAAUCAAGAUUGCCGAGAGAAAUAUCAAUAACCUCAGAUAUGCAGAUGACACCACCCUUAUGACAGAAAGUGAAGAGAAACUAAAAAGCCUCUUGAUGAAAGUGAAAGAGGAGAGUGAAAAAGUUGGCUUAAAGCUCAACAUUCAGAAAACAAAGAUCAUGGCAUCUGGUCCCAUCACUUCAUGGGAAAUAGAUGGGGAAACAGUGGAAACAGUGUCAGACUUUAUUUUUCUGGGCUCCACAAUCACUGCAGAUGGUGAUUGCAGCCAUGAAAUUAAAAGAUGCUUACUCCUUGGAAGGAAAGUUAUGACCAACCUGGAGAGCAUAUUAAAAAGCAGAGACAUUACUUUGCCAACAAAGGUCCAUCUAGUCAAGGCUAUGGUUUUUCCAGUGGUUAUGUAUGGAUUGGAGAGUUGGACUGUGAAGAAAUCUAAGCACCGAAGAAUCUAUGCUUUUGAACUGUGGUGUUGGAGAAGACUCUUGAGAGUCCCUUGGACUUCGAGGAGAUUCAACCAGUCCAUUCUAAAGGAGAUCAGUCCUGGGUGUUCUUUCGAAGGACUUAUGUUGAAGCUGAAACUCCAAUACUUUGACCACCUCAUGCGAAGAGUUGACUCAUUGGAAAAGACCCUGAUGCUUGGAGGGAUUAGGGAUAGGAGGAGAAAGGGACGACAGAGGAUGAGAUGGCUGGAUGGCAUCACCGACUCGAUGGACAUCAGUCAGUUCAGUUCAGUCACUCAGUCUUGUCUGACUCUUUGCAACCCCAUGAAUUGCAUCACACCAGGCCUCCCUGUCCAUCACCAACUCCCGGAGUUCACUCAAACUCACAUCCGUUGA